AUAUACGACCGUACCGCAAACCGACACUGGUGCGCGAGAUGAGUAUUCUAAGGCGCUUGAGAGAACUCAGGAGAAGGAACUCGGCAAAUUGACACCGUAACUUCGGAAGAAGGUGUGCCCUAUUAGUGUGAAGUGAACAACGGAGCAUGAAUGGGUUGCAAAAAAUCGGUGGCUGCGACUGUUUAUUAAAAACACAGCACUCUGCAAACACGAAAGUGGACGUAUAGGGUGUGACGCCAGCCCGGUGCUGGAAGAUUAAAUGAUGGGGUGCAAGCUCUUGAUUGAAGUCCCAGUAAACGGCGGCCGUAACGAUAACGGUCCUAAGGUAGCGAAAUUCCUUGUCGGGUAAGUUCCGACCUGCACGAAUGGCGUAACGAUGGCCACACUGUCUCCUCCUGAGACUCAGCGAAGUUGAAAUGUUUGUGAUGAUGCAAUCUCCCCGCGGAAUGACGGAAAGACCCCAUGAACCUUUACUGUAGCUUUGUAUUGGACUUUGAACAGAUCUGUGUAGGAUAGGUGGGGGGCUUUGAAGCAGGGUCGCUAGAUCUUGUGGAGCCAACGUUGAAAUACCACCCUGGUGUGUUUGAGGUUCUAACCUGGGUCCAUUAUCUGGAUCGGGGACAGUGCAUGGUAGGCAGUUUGACUGGGGCGGUCUCCUCCCAAAGCGUAACGGAGGAGUUCGAAGGUACGCUAGUUACGGUCGGACAUCGUGACGAUAGUGCAAUGGCAUAAGCGUGCUUAACUGCGAGACUGACAAGUCGAGCAGAUGCGAAAGCAGGACAUAGUGAUCCGGUGGUUCUGUAUGGAAGGGCCAUCGCUCAACGGAUAAAAGGUACUCUGGGGAUAACAGGCUGAUACCGCCCAAGAGUUCAUAUCGACGGCGGUGUUUGGCACCUCGAUGUCGGCUCAUCUCAUCCUGGGGCUGUAGCCGGUCCCAAGGGUAUGGCUGUUCGCCAUUUAAAGAGGUACGUGAGCUGGGUUUAAAACGUCGUGAGACAGUUUGGUCCCUAUCUUCCGUGGGCGCUGCAGAUUUGAGGAAGCCUGCUCCUAGUACGAGAGGACCGGAGUGGACACACCUCUGGUGUAUCGGUUGUCACGCCAGUGGCAUUGCCGAGUAGCUAAGUGUGGAAGAGAUAAACGCUGAAAGCAUCUAAGCGUGAAACUCGUUUCAAGAUGAGAUCUGCCGGGGCCUUGAGCCCCCUGAAGAGUCGUUCAAGACCAGGACGUUGAUAGGUCAGGUGUGGAAGCGCAGUAAUGCGUUAAGCUAACUGAUACUAAUUGCUCGUGCGGCUUGACCAG
rnacentral:rRNA from 1 species